rnacentral:misc_RNA from 1 species
GAUGAAGAACGUAGUGAAAUGCGAUACUUGGUGUGAAUUGCAGAAUCCCGUGAACCAUCGAGUCUUUGAACGCAAGUUGCGCCCGAAGCCAUUAGGCCGAGGGCACGCCUGCCUGGGUGUCACACGUCGUUGCCCCCCCAUCUACUCCUUCGGGAUUGCGGGGGGCGGAUGAUGGCCUCCCGUGCGCCUCGUCGCGCGGUUGGCAUAAAUGCCAAGUCCUCGGCGACGCACGCCACGACAAUCGGUGGUUGCGAAACCUCGGUUGCCCGUCGUGUGCGGUCGUCGCGCAUCGAGGGCUCGAAAAAAUUGCCGGGCUCCGGCUCGGCUUUCAACGCGACCCCAGGUCAGGCGGGGUUACCCGCUGAAUUUAAGCAUAUCAAUAAGCGGAGGA